rnacentral:hammerhead_ribozyme from 1 species
GCACUGCUGAAGAGUCCCACAACAAGACGAAACCGCCAUCCAGUGC